rnacentral:rRNA from 1 species
UACGUAGGUGACCAGAGUUGUCCGGAUUUACUGGGCGUAAAGAGCGCGCAGGCGGUCGUUCAAGUCGAGUGUGAAAGCCCCCGGCUCAACUGGGGAGGGUCACUCGAUACUGAUCGACUUGAAGGCAGGAGAGGGAAGCGGAAUUCCCGGUGUAGUGGUGAAAUGCGUAGAUAUCGGGAGGAACACCAGUGGCGAAGGCGGUUUCCUGGCCUGUUCUUGACGCUGAGGCGCGAAAGCUAGGGGAGCAAACGGG